rnacentral:rRNA from 1 species
GCAGCCGCCGCGGUAAUACGUAGGUCCCGAGCGUUAUCCGGAUUUAUUGGGCGUAAAGCGAGCGCAGGCGGUUAGAUAAGUCUGAAGUUAAAGGCUGUGGCUUAACCAUAGUACGCUUUGGAAACUGUUUAACUUGAGCGCAGAAGGGGAGAGUGGAAUUCCAUGUGUAGCGGUGAAAUGCGUAGAUAUAUGGAGGAACACCGGUGGCGAAAGCGGCUCUCUGGUCUGUCACUGACGCCGAGGCUCGAAAGCGUGGGUAGCGAACAGGAUUAGAUACCCCAGUAGUCCCUGUCUCUUAUACA